ensembl:ncRNA
AAAGGAACGAUCGUUGUGAUAUG